AUUCUUGAAUAAAAACUUCAGUUAGAUCACUCGUUAGUAGAUUAGGACCCAAGUCCUGUUUCAUUUGUUUCUUUUAUGGUUUUGUACCAUUUUGUCCAUUUGGACUGCACGGAACGGUACAACCCCAUGGUAACAAAAUAAACAGUGAAACAAAAGCAGAGGGCAAUAGUAGCCGUUUGGUCGGCUGAUUUUCGUUGCUUGGUUGUAGGUCCUGGCUCGCAGGGCCUUCAGCCAAGUGCCGGGUGCUCGAUGCUCGUAGGCCUUGCCUGCUGGGCCUACAACCAUUGAACGCUCAAUGUCUUGUAGGCCUGGCUUGCAGGCCUUGAGUCGAGAUCCAAAUGCUCAAUGAUAGGCCCUGCAAACCACGCCUAUGAGCCAUCGAGCGCUUGAUGCUCGUAGGCCCGGCUCGCAGGGCCUGAAGCUUUGCCGUACAAGGCCUGAUUUUUUUUUUUUUUUUGGAUGGAAAAGCCCAUUUGUAUAGGUGCCCAUUUCCGUAAGCGGUGGACGAAAAUGGAAUCGGGGCCAUAUGAAUGGAACAAACAGAAACGAACUGUUGUACCUUGGGACAGUCCCACCACAUAUGGAUAAAUGUUCCAGUUCCCCCACUUUCAUGCCAACAGAAUUUAGAUGUUCUUUUUGUAAUAUGGGCUAUUUGCUGAAGGUCCUGUACCAUUUUGUUGAUAUUUUCCAUUGUAUUCCUUUGAUUUUUAAAUGUUAACUUUUUUAAAAUGAAUGUAUCCAUAGUUCUAAGUUCUUCUGAUUACAGUUUAUUUCCUCUUUUCAUACUUCUAACAGAGUGAGUUUCAAAUUGUAUUGGUUAUCUAUUAAUUUGUUAUAUAUGAAUUCCAUAAUUCCUUUGCCUUUCUCAGUUUUCCAUUGUUCUAAAUCUGUUGCAGGACCGUCUUCUUCCACUCUGUAAUCUUUUGCGACAUUCUGUGCCAUUACAACCAAUUGCUUGACCCACUUUUGUCUCUUAACGCCUCCCAGUCUUUCGUUGUUCUAUCCAAAUGUAUAAGAUCCCCUACCUUUGUUAUACCAUACAUUUCGAAUGGUUUUAUGAUGAUGUGUUUUAAUUAUUUUGUGCUUUACCUCGAGCCAUGAGGAGACAGGGAUAAGAAAUUAAAAAAACUUUUAUCAUCAUCAUCUGUGUUUAUUCAUCCUACGCUGUACUCAGUAUGUGGCCUUAUAAAGAUUCUCUGGUAGCAUUGCUGCAUCUAUAACGGGCCUUGGAUUAGUACAUUGCACCAGCCCCUCUAUUCUACCCCAUCAUCUCUCUCUCGCACAUGCUAUGGUAUAGGAACUUUGAAAAUAUAGAACAAUUCAAUUGUGUGUGAGUUGUUAUUCGCAGGUACAAUGUAAACUGCUACAAUAGCAUUUGCACACAUUUUUGCCUAGUGUCACAUUUGGAAUAAUAAUAAGAUUAAUAAUAAUAAUAAUAAUAAUAAUAAUAAUAAAAUAUUAUCCUGAGGGGAUUCCGAGCGGAUUACAGGUACAUAUAUGGCAAACAUUCAAUGCUGUCAUUCA
rnacentral:lncRNA from 1 species